rnacentral:rRNA from 1 species
AUGGAUUUAAUUGAUGCCUUCCCGCGAUCCAACAGGGCCAACUGUAUCCUCGUCGUUCUGGACAAGUUCACAUGGUAUGCUCAUUUUCUACCACUGAAUCAUCCUUUCACAGCAGGUAAGGUCGCUCCAGCUUAUUUGGAUAAUGUUUACAAGAUGCACGGUCUCCCUAAGGCAGUUAUCUCGGAUCGAGACCUGGUGUUUACCAGCAGAUUCUGGCAGGAAUUGUUCAAAAUCAUUGGGACAGAGUUGAACACGAGCACACCGUAUCAUCCACAGAACGUGUCAAUCAAUGCUUGGUGA